rnacentral:rRNA from 1 species
UACGUAGGGGGCAAGCGUUGUCCGGAUUUAUUGGGCGUAAAGAGCGUGUAGGCGGCUUGGUAGGUCCGCUGUGAAAACUCGAGGCUCAACCUCGAGAUGUCGGCGGAAACCACUUGGCUAGAGUCCGGAAGAGGAGAGUGGAAUUCCCGGUGUAGCGGUGAAAUGCGCAGAUAUCGGGAAGAACACCUAUGGCGAAGGCAGCUCUCUGGGACAGUACUGACGCUGAGACGCGAAAGCGUGGGGAGCGAACAGG